rnacentral:lncRNA from 1 species
ACAGCAUCUCUCUCUAGCCUAUUAUCUCCUGUUAGACACAGCCCAGAAAAUGAAUAGAGACAAGUCCUGGCUGGGUCUGGGUUCAGAAACAUAAUAGAAGGAUUCAUCUAAUUAGCAAUUGAACCCUUGACAGUACCCGAAAUGAAAGCCCUAGUGGGUCAGCACUCACUGUUUACCAGCUCCAAUCCCUGCUGUGCACUUGCCUUUCUAACAGCUCCCCAAGGACUGGGCUCCCUAGAGUCCUCAGUCCCAUGGUCCUGGAAACCUGGCCCUACCUCUAUCUAUGAUUUUUGAUUAUCAGCUCCAGCAUUUAUGGAUCCCUUCUCCUAUUAUCUAAUCUACGGGCUCUAAAGAUUAAACUGUGCACUUUGGACUAUUUAAAUAGUUCUUAACCACUGAUCUCCUCCCUCAGGGAAGGGAAUUCUUUCCACAGUUGCUAGUUCCUCACACCUCUGCCUCUAUGGGAUUCUCCUGGUCCCCACAUGCUCUGCUGUGUCUUCUAGCUGUCGGCCACUGUGGAGGAAGUGAACCUUCUAGAUCCUGCUGACUCAUACAAUGAGUUUUGUGUGGACCAUCAGACAAAAGGGCUGGCUGGUGAAGGUGGCUGUUGUCUGGAAAUUCCUCCCAGCUCUCCUCUAAUUAUGUCAUAAGGACUGGAGGCCCCUUAGCCUGCUUGUGUGAGUAUCACCAGCUAUGUAAAGUUGGGGCCUUAGCUCAUCCUCAGCACAUGGCUCAGGAUCACUUCCUUAAGAAAGUCUCUUCUGACCUCCUUACCCCUACCAUGUUUCUUGUACUGACUUACGCAAUGGUCACAACCAACAUAGAAGCUGAAAUCCCAAUGACUCACUGUCCCAGCUGCGCUUGUAGAUAAGGGAGAGGCAAAGCACUUAGAAUGGCAAUCAGACAUGGCUAUCUGGGACCAGGAAUUAGGAACUGCUGACACAAAGAAGCAGGGACAGAAGAGAACUCACUCUUGUGGUGAGCAGAGGCAGCUGUGCAAACAACCUGCUGUUCCGGAUGUGACUGUGGUGGCCGUGGGGUGCAGAGUCCAGGGCUCAUGGCGUUGGUCAUGCAAAUUGUGGUUCCUGGGCCUUAGCAGAAACAAGGAACCUAUUCAGUGGCAUUGCUUUGGGGGCUGCUCUGGCUUCGUAAGCUGUGUGCCUGAUUCUUAAGCCCCUCCCAGCAAUUCUGGGACUGAAGUUUGGUGUGUUGCUCUUCGGUUUAGAUCUGCCACAGUCAUUUGCUGUUGCUUGAAGCUAAAAACUCUGAGUGAUACGAACCUCUCACACAACUCUUACCACGUUGUCACUACCUACCCCAGUAUAUUUAGAUUCCAUCAGAUCAAGUACUGGAUUUUAUUUAUCUCUAAAUAUCCUAAAUCUCCACAGUGCCUGGAGUACAUGUAUAUAUAUUUGACCUACAUUAAACUGGUCAAUAAAAUGAGGAAGUCUUGCUUAAAGUUCCUUCUAACUUAAAAUUUGCCUGACCACAUGGAAGCUGUCAGGUUGCUCAUUAAUGCAGAGGUAAUUUUUUUCUCUUAACUAGGGUUAGAAUUUAGACUCUACCCCUUCUCUGUAUCUCAGAGGGAGCAGAACUAGUGGUUUCCUACACUGGAGAGGGAACUCAAGUCCUUCAGUGACCUAUGUCGUAUGUUAAAGUCACUCAUGUUUGGCCCCUGUAGUACAAAUAUACCAGAAAGAGUGAUAGGAAACAGCAUAUUCCCCCCUUGUUCAGAUUUUUCUUAGUAUGACAUUAUCUUGGAAAGAGAAAGGCCACAUUUGCAAGUUUGGAAGAAAGUUCCCCCUGGAGUUUUUUCUCUGUCCUAUUUCAGUAUGUAUUGACUCUCAGAACCCGGGCUGCUAUGACAUCCGUUUUCUGGGUCACUUUGUCCCUGAGUCAUUAUCAUCCUGUAACUUUCUGAAAACAUUUGACUAUGCCAUUUACCAGUUAAUUUCAGUGAAUAGCUGAAAUCAUAGUAAAAUGUUAGGGCCAGAGUAAAUUUAGGUCAGAUUGAUUUUAUUGCCCCAGAUUAAGAAAGUGAGCCAAGUUGUUGUUAACAAUUUCAUAGUUUCCUUCAUCACAUCUUUUCGGAGCCUUACUCAACCAUAAGAUGAAUCAUCCAUAAAAUGACCCCCACAAAGCUGUGGUUUACAUGUUCAUCACUCUUUUCUGUCAUUUGUUGCUUUCAGGAUAACACGCAAGGAAAUAUGGGCCAACUCUUCACAUGAACACAAGAUAUUUCCAUGCUAGCCUUUUGCAAGUAACAACAGAGAGAGCUCUGUGCAGUUUUCACUGGAAUGCCUGUGGAUUGCUUGUGUCAUAACUGUAAUCUAAAGAGUUGUCCAUUUGUUGAUUCCUUUGUAUUUGUAUUGGUAGAAUUGCCACUAUCAAACCAAGAUCUUUAGCUGCCUUUGUAUCAACUUCUUUGGAGCUUAUGUGAUUUUCCAGAAAAUUUCCAAGGCAUAGUUUUGUCCCUAAGUCCCAUGAAUAUGUAAUAUUUUGUGUCUCUCUAUUAAAAUAGCACUUUUUGUGCAUUCCAUUAACAAAU